UACGGAGGGGGCUAGCGUUGUUCGGAAUUACUGGGCGUAAAGCGCACGUAGGCGGCGAUUUAAGUCAGAGGUGAAAAGCCCGGGGGCUCAACCCCGGAAUAGCCUUUGAGACUGGAUUGCUAGAAUCUUGGAGAGGCGAGUGGAAUUCCGAGUGUAGAGGUGAAAUUCGUAGAUAUUCGGAAGAACACCAGUGGGCGAAGGCGGCUCGCUGGACAAGUAUUGACGCUGAGGUG
rnacentral:rRNA from 1 species